CUACAAAGCGGCGAAGGUCACGGCGCGAGCAGGCGCGCGCCGCCGCCCCGCGUCCCGCCUGCGGCCCGCGGCCAUCGGCCCCCCCCCACCCAGCGGCCCACGGCCCGCGGCCCGCCGCCCGCAGCCCGCGCGGGGAGCCAUGGAGGGAGUGAGCGCGCUUCUGGCCCGUUGCCCCACGGCCGGCCUGGCCGGCGGCCUGGGGGUCACGGCGUGCGCCGCGGCCGGCGUGCUGCUCUACCGGAUCGCGCGGAGGAUGAAGCCGACACACACCAUCGUCAACUGCUGGUUCUGCAACCAGGACACGGUGGUGCCGUACGGGAACCGCAACUGCUGGGACUGUCCGCACUGCGAGCAGUACAACGGCUUCCAGGAGAACGGCGACUACAACAAGCCCAUCCCCGCCCAGUACCUGGAGCACCUGAACCACGUGGUGAGCAGCGUGCCGGGGCCCCGCCCCCCCGCGCAGCCGCAGCAGUGGGUGAGCAGCCAGGUGCUGCUGUGCCGCAGGUGCAGCCACCACCAGACCACCAAGAUCAAGCAGCUGGCCGCCUUCGCGCCGCGUGACGAGGGCAGGUAUGACGAGGAGAUCGAGGUGUAUCGGCACCACCUGGAGCAGAUGUACAAGCUGUGCCGGCCCUGCCAGGCGGCCGUCGAGUACUACAUCAAGCACCAGAACCGCCAGCUGCGUGCCCUGCUGCUCAGCCACCAGUUCAAGCGCCGGGAAGCCGACCAGACCCACACGCAGAGCUUCUCCUCCGCGGCGAAGGCCCCGGUCCAGGUCAUUGUGCUCCGCGCCCUCGCCUUCCUGGCCUGCACCUUCCUGCUGACCAUCGCGUUCUAUGGCACCAGCAACCCCUUCGCCCCAGAGGCCACCCUGCCCCCGGCCCUGCCGCCUGGUGGCAACGGCUCGGCCGCACCUGACAACGGCACUGCCCCCGGGGUCGACGGCUGGCAGCAGCUGCUGGGUCUGCUGCCCGAGCACGCGGCGGAGAAGCUGCGGGAGGCCUGGGCCUUCGGGCAGAGCCACCAGAUGGGCGUCGUGGCCCUGGGCCUGCUCACCUGCCUGCUGGCCAUGCUGCUGGCCGGCCGCAUCAGGCUCCGCAGGAUCGACGCCUUCUCCACCUGCCUGUGGGCCCUGCUGCUGGGGCUGCACCUGGCGGAGCAGUACCUACAGGCCGCCUCGCCCGGCUGGCUGGAGACGCUCAAGUUCAGCACCACAUCCCUGUGCUGCCUGGUGGGCUUCACGGCAGCCGUGGCCACAAGGAAGGCGACAGGCACGCGGAGGUUCCGGCCCCGAAGGUGUUUCCCGAGAGACUCGGCCGGCCUUUUCCCCACGAGCCCCGGCCUGGCCGUGCCCUGCCCGAGCGCCACCGGCCCUUCGCCGUCUCUGUUCAUCCCCACGCCGCCCGGCUUCCUGCCGCUCGCCAGCCAGCAGCUGUUCCGCUCGCCUCGACGGGCCUCGCCCUCCUCGCUGCCGGGCCGCCUCAGCCGGGCCCUCUCGCUGGGGACCAUACCCUCCCUGACUCGGGCAGACUCAGGGUAUCUGUUCAGUGGGAGCCGCCCACCGUCUCAGGUGUCUCGAUCUGGAGAGGUUCCUGUUCCAGAUUACUUCUCUCUCCUGUCGGGAUGCUGUGCCUCGUCCCCACUCCCUUCCCCGGCGCCCUCCGUGGCCGGCUCCGUGGCCUCCAGCUCUGGCUCUCUGCGCCACCGCAGGCCCCUCAUCAGCCCGGCCCGGCUCAACCUGAAGGGGCAGAAGCUGCUGCUGUUCCCGUCGCCCCCCGGGGAGGGCCCCAACACCCCCAGCAGCUCAGACGAACACUCGCCCCACAACGGCAGCCUCUUCCCCAUCGAGCCGCCGCACGUCCCACAGAGAUCGCCGGCGCAGGACACGAAGCUCACUGUGGACAUGAGGUCGAUGCCAGAAAGAGGCAGUGCCUGCAGCAGCCGCUCCAUCAAGAAGGAGGAUGAUUCCUCUCAGUCCUCCACCUGCGUGGUGGACACCACCACCCAGGGGUGCGUGGAGGAGGCCGCCGCCUGGAAAGGUAAAGCACCAGGCACGCUGUGAGCACCCAGAGGCCAGCACAACUGCCGGUGUCCCCAGGGGACACGCGUGUGGAGAAGAUGGAUGGACAGUCACGAGGGGAGUCUUUCUGCAAAGAUGGUUCCCUGUCUCUGGAGCCGACAGGAAAUGGGUGCUGUCCCCAGAGCACAGACCUGGGGCGGGAACCCCGGUCCGGAAGCCUGGGCGGGGUCGUGUUGGGCCCUCCCUGGUCCGGGGCCUCCUGGCCGUGAGCUUGGCUGCCAACGUUCUCUUCACUUCGGCCUACCUGUACCAGGUCCUGCGCUGACCCGCGGUCCGCGGCCCCCAGCGCCCAGAGGGGCCUCGAGACGCCCAGGUGCACACUGCUUUCACCACUGCCGGCCUCAGAGCCCCCCUGAGGGGCUCCGCCAUCCUCGCCAGGGCCUUUGACCUCGCUGGGCCGGUCCUGCCUUCGGGACCCCUGCACCUCACCUGGCCGACCGCAGGGCUGAGCGUGUCCGUGGGGUCACUUUCCUCCCUGCCCGUCUCCUUGGCCGAGAUCAGUUGUGUUUGGUGCUGACCCUGAUCCUGAAGCCAGGGAUCCCCGAGGGGCCGUGGGGCCCUGCGGUCCCCUCCCUGCCACCCGGCCCGCCCGGCGGGAGUGCCACUACUGUAGCUACAGCGGGAGCUGGCUGCCUCUGGACCCUGUGCUGCGGGGCUGUGCCCGCAUCUCGUACUGUAUCUCCCCAUCCCUCUGCGGCUGCCUCGGCUUCCCUGGCGGGGGGUGGGGGAGGGUGGAGGGACGGUCCCUGUGUCAUUCGCUCUCGACCCUGCCCGGUGAAGAACAGACCCCUUGGGCGGGCCCCCUUGAGGAUGGGCAUCAGCUGCCCGUGUCUCCCCCCGUUCUACCAACACCCUGGCUCUCCUGGGUGGGCAGGCGGGUACUUGGGGUCCCCGGGCCAGGGCCCUUUGGAGUUCCAGUGUAAGCACCCUGCUGCCCCCGGCCAGCCUCCCUUCUGCCCGCUUGUGCCCCUAUGUUGUUACCUCUCGUGACCUUCCCGGGCAGCGGCCCGUUACCCUGAGAACACUACCCAGGGCCCACCCUGCCCCGCUUCCAGGCCUGCGCUUCUGGGCCCCUCCCUCGAGCACCGCCCACAGGGGCCUUGCUCAAGCCCCCAGCCUGCACUGCGGGACGGCCCCGUCAGCCUGCAAGUCUCCAGUGAGACCACUCCCUGCCCCGCCCCUGCCCCUGCCCCCCCAUGAGCCUGGCCCCUCUCGGCCCCUGAGACCCUGCUUUUCUCCCUUUCAUUCUGCUGCCUCCAUGGGCUCCGUGCGGCCUCUGUUUCCAGGCCACCUGAGCUCUCAUUCCUUCCCGCUCCGCCGUCCCCUCAGGCCCUGCCACUGCUCCUACAGCCCGGCCCCCUCCCCUCCCCACCCGUGCAGGGGUCCUGUCCUGCCCCCGAGAGGAGGAAGGAGGGCCCUUGGUCUGGCACAGGGAACCCCCCCCGCUGCCGUGAGGAGGGAGUGUGUGUGUGCGUGUGGCCGUCCGAGCCCCGCAGCCCCUGCCAGCCGGGGCCUCGCACACAGGUACCGGCAGCCUGUGUCUCACACAGGCAUGUGCACCCGGGGAGGAAUUGGCAGCCUUGGUGAAUCCUGAGACUUGGCGGCUGGGGGCGGGUGGUGGUGGUGAGGGCAAGAGGAAGGGUCUUUAUCAUUCAGGGAUAAAGUUUAAUUUUAUUUUUCUACACAUUUUUGCCAGGUAAGGCAUUUUGCUGGUAAGCAGGAUGCCCCCAGUUCUCCCUGCCAGGGAGGUUUCGUUUUUUUAAGCCUUGGGUGCUUUUUUAGUGAUUUUUUUUACCAUGUGGGGAAGGAGUCGCUCUGACUUUCCCUCGCUCCUCUUCCCCCCACUCCUGUCCUGAGAGCUGUUUCCCGCCCUGCCCCCCACCCCAGGACGUGGGGGGUGGGGGGGGCCAGGGGCCGCACCAGGACCCUGCGUCCAGCUGCCAGAGAUGAUUCCAACUCGAAGAUGGUGCUUCUCGGCCCCCAUUUGUAUAGUGGGCACGUGUGUCCAAGUUUUUAAAUUUUCUUUUUUGCCUAACAAAGCCAAACUCCAUUCCCUAGUACCCUUCCUCUGUGGCUCUGAGGAAGCCCCAAGAGUGCCCUCUCCUCUCCUCGGCCCCUCCCGCCGGGGACCGCCGGUCCCCACACCCCGCAGGGGCCGGGGAGAGGCCAAGUGGGGAGGGGGGCUUACUUAUGUUUUCUUUCAAACAAAAAACACAACCUUAUUUUUCUUUACAAAAGCAAAAAAAAAAAAAAAAAGCAAAAAAAAAAGGGAAACCAAAAAAGAUACCAACCUUUG